AGAGUACAUUUGAGCCGAGGAUGACUUGCCGGCAAAAGAAGAAUCCCCUCUGAGGAUGUUGCUGGCAAAGAUUCCGGGCUCAUGUUUGCUCUCU
rnacentral:pre_miRNA from 1 species